GCCGGGCAUGGUGGCGCAUGCCUGUAGUCCCAGCUACUCGGGAGGCUGAGGCAGAAGAAUCGCUUGAACCUGGGAGGCAGAGGUUGCAGUGAGCUGAGAUCGCACCACUACACUCCAGCCUGGAUGACAGAGCGAGACUCUGUCUCAA
ensembl:misc_RNA Metazoa_SRP Metazoan signal recognition particle RNA